UCUGAUGGGGGGGAGCGGCAGACGGGAGAGUAACACGUGGGAACGUACCCUUUGGUUCGGAACAACCCAGGGAAACUUGGGCUAAUACCGGAUAAGCCCUUACGGGGAAAGAUUUAUCGCCGAAGGAUCGGCCCGCGUCUGAUUAGCUUGUUGGUGAGGUAACGGCUCACCAAGGCGACGAUCAGUAGCUGGUCUGAGAGGAUGAUCAGCCUCACUGGGACUGAGACACGGCCCAGACUCCUACGGGAGGCAGCAGUGGGGAAUAUUGGACAAUGGGCGCAAGCCUGAUCCAGCCAUGCCGCGUGGGUGAUGAAGGCCCUAGGG
rnacentral:rRNA from 1 species